GGGGGCGACCGGUUUCGACAUUUUAGAAUGAAAUCUUAGAUUGCAUGUAGAGCUUAGUAACUCUUAAAACUUCUAAACUAUAUUAAGUGCCGAUAAUGGCCAAAUGGCUUUUGCUUAAUUGCUAAAGUCCAUCAUCAGUAGACGUUUCUCAUCGUUCGCUGAAUGGUGUCAUAAAAAUGAGAUAGUUUAUUUUUCUGCUUCGGUUUAAUAAAUGAAUCCUUAGAAGAUAGCUAUAUGCCUGUUUGUUCUUGUACUGUCAUGUAGUGA
rnacentral:tmRNA from 10 species